CACUGACGAGUUUGAUCAUGGCUCAGAGCGAACGCUAGCGCGGGCUUAACACAUGCAAGUCGAACGCAUCUCUUCGGAGGUGAGUGGCGGACGGGUGAGUAACACGUAGGUUACCUGCCCUUUGGUGGGGGAUAACUCGGGGAAACCCGAGCUAAUACCGCAUAUGGCCUUCGGGUCAAAGCCUUCGGGCGCCAGAGGAUGGGCCUGCGUCCCAUUAUUUAAUCCUAGUUGGUGGGGUAACGGCCUACCAAGGGUACGAUGGGUAGCUGGUCUGAGAGGAUGAUCAGCCACACUGGGACUGAGACACGGCCCAGACUCCUACGGGAGGCAGCAGUGGGGAAUAUUGCGCAAUGGGGGAAACCCUGACGCAGCCACGCCGCGUGAGUGAUGAAGGCCCUCGGGUCGUAAAGCUCUGUCGGGAGGGACGAAGUACUGACGGUACCUCCCAAGAAAGCACCGGCCAACUCCGUG
rnacentral:rRNA from 1 species